rnacentral:rRNA from 1 species
GACAGAGGGUGCAAACGUUGCUCGGAAUCACUGGGCGUAAAGGGCGUGUAGGCGGGAGAGAAAGUCGGGCGUGAAAUCCCUAGGCUCAACCUAGGAACUGCACUCGAAACUUCUUUCUUGAGUACCGGAGAGGAAAGCGGAAUACCUGGUGUAGAGGUGAAAUUCGUAGAUAUCAGGUGGAACACCAGUGGCGAAGGCGGCUUUCUGGACGGUAACUGACGCUGAGACGCGAAAGCGUGGGGAGCAAACAGG